rnacentral:lncRNA from 1 species
UAGCACAAAAUCGUCUUUAGCUUAUGCUAUAGUCUCGCCCUGCCCCUUCAAAGGGUGCCUAACUUUUGCCUUGUAUCUGCCAUACAACUUACAAAGUAGAGGUAGGCGAUAUGAUACAUGAUACUGUACUCAUAUCCAUUGCCAAGUACUCUAUACCAAAUCCUGGCAUCAAGUAGAGUAGUGACCACACCUGCUUUGACGUCAUGAUUCAAAUUUUCUGGUAUCACCACCUCUAUUUCAAAGUGCAUUUGUUAAUGGAAGGGGGGAAGCUUAAUAUGGGAGGUGAUUAGUGCCAAAAUUAGGAUACAGUUUUUUUAAAUGUGGCAUUGUUAUCAUCAGCGAGCAGAGGAAUAGGAUACCUAUAUUUUGAUCCAGAUGAUCCCAAUUCAUUUCACUACAUAUGUCCGUGUAACACCUGCUCUAAACGUACAAUUAAAUCAACUUUUUCUUAAAUUAUAUAUUAUAUUUUAUUUAUUUAUUUCUUUUCUUUCUGGGUGUUAGGACCUUGUUCCCAACAUUCCCCAGGACUACUUACUCUAAGUAUCUAUACUUUAUGCGUUGCUCCUUUAUUCUAUAUCCUGUAAAAUUGUUUAAUAAUAAUAAUAAUAAUAAAUAAUAAUAUCGAUGAAUAAAUUAGAAUAGAUUACUAAGAUUAGAUUAAUUAAUAGGCAAUAAUAGCACAUGACAUGCUAGUCUCGCUAGCCAGACUUUAAUUUACCGAAUAUGAGAAGAAAAAUUCGAUAAAUUAGAGUCUGGCUAGCGAGACUAAUGACAUGCCACGUGGAGCAUAAUAUUGAGGUGUAAAAUGGCGGAAAGAGACAGUGCCAGCGGAGCUGAUAGCACAGAGGCCGUGCUGAGUAACCUAACCACACUUCUCCAGGAUACUGUAAACCGCUUAGAAGGCAGGCAGAUUAGUAAACCAGCAGCAACCACAGCGUUUGUAGUACAACCGUCAGCACCACAAGUAUUUGCUACUAAAAUUCAUUCUGUCAGAUCUGAGAGAACGACACCAGUUCCUAGUAAUUUCUCGUGGAACCCAGGCUCUAGUACUAGCAGCAGUUCCCAGGCUUGCGGCAAGAAAAGGAAGUCCAAGGAAGACUUUGGAAAGAGUCGGCAUCCAAAGCGAAGGAAAGUUGCAACUUGGACUCACACAUUUGUGUGCUUAGCUAACAAACAGCAAGAUAUCAUCCCUGAUAGUAAUGAAAGAGCUAAGCUACAAUUGGCUGGGCUUGGAGAAAAAAAGAUCUCAAUGUAUGCAAAUGCAGAUGUAAUCCAAGAGCUCAGUUUUAUUUACUUUUCCAAAAUUGGCCCAAUCUGGGGGAUUUGAGCUACUAAGGGUAUCAGAAGGUCGAGGAAGGUGUCUUGAUGUUAUUGAAUGCCCAAGGGAAGGCUAUAACGCAGCCUACUUGAAAGCAGUAGUGCAUAACGCCGAAGUAUAUGUGAGGCCACUGCAAAGGAACCUAUCCAUAGAAGAAAGUCCAACUGUAGAAGAUGAAUUCCUAGAUGUACCAAAGGAGAAGUGUUUAAACUGUGACGAAAUGGUGCUUGUUGCUGAACUGAAAGAUCAUCUUAUUUCUUGCAGUAGGUCUACAACGAGUACUGACAUCUACACUGAGGAAGACACAUUUCAAUUUGAUGACUCUAUGGUUCAGACCUAUUUUAACCCAGUAUUGGAUGUGGUAUUAUAUACAACAGAAAUUAAUGAUACCAGCAAUGAGCAGCUGUCAAUUAAACAAAUAAUACAGUCGGGCAGCCAAGCAACCGGAAGUCCAUAUAAAUUGUGUAUAAACCUAUUUCUCGUUCAUUGAGCAACUGCGUGGGUGGUAGCGUACAUAGAUACAUGGAAACUUGGAUAGAAUCAGAGAACUAUCACAGCAAUGGACUUGCCACAAUGAGAGAUAAAGUGCUUGAUCAAUAGAGCACAUCAUUUAUGAAAACAGCAAAGCUACGCUGUUUUAUGGGGAACUUACAGCUAAUUUUGAACACAAUAAUUCUAUUCAUUAGAAAAACUUUCCCUCACAAGGAAUACUUGUAAGACAACAAUUACCUUGUAAAGAUACCUUUUAAGUACCACAUACCAAAAUUUCAUGAUUGCACUCCAAAGAAUACUGAAGUUACAAUUUUUUUAUUGUUAAGUAUAAUUAAAUUAAUUAAAAUUUAUUAUUAAAAUUGUAAUAAAUCAUGA